GGGUCUGCGUUUCAUUAGCUAGUUGGUAGGGUAAUGGCCUACCAAGGCAACGAUGAGUAGCUGGUCUGAGAGGAUGAUCAGCCACACUGGAACUGAAACACGGUCCAGACUCCUACGGGAGGCAGCAGUGGGGAAUAUUGCGCAAUGGGCGAAAGCCUGACGCAGCAACGCCGUGUGAGGGAUGAAGGCUUUCGGGUCGUAAACCUCUGUCGGAAGGGAAGAACGGGCAUUGGUCUAAUAGGCCUUUGUUUUGACGGUACCUUUAGAGGAAGCACCGGCUAACUCCGUGCCAGCAGCCGCGGUAAUACGGAGGGUGCAAGCGUUAUUCGGAAUUACUGGGCGUAAAGCGCACGUAGGCGGCUUCGUAAGUCAGGGGUGAAAUCCCACGGCUCAACCGUGGAACUGCCUUUGAAACUGCAAAGCUUGAAUCCUGGAGAGGGUGGCGGAAUUCCUGGUGUAGGAGUGAAAUCCGUAGAUAUCAGGAGGAACACCGGUGGCGAAGGCGGCCACCUGGACAGGUAUUGACGCUGAGGUGCGAAAGUGUGGGGAGCAAACAGGAUUAGAUACCCUGGUAGUCCACACCGUAAACGAUGGAUACUAGAUGCCGGAG
rnacentral:rRNA from 1 species